AACGAACGCUGGCGGCAUGCCUAACACAUGCAAGUCGAACGAGACCUUCGGGUCUAGUGGCGCACGGGUGCGUAACGCGUGGGAACCUGCCCUUAGGUUCGGAAUAACUCCCCGAAAGGGGUGCUAAUACCGGAUAAUGUCUUCGGACCAAAGAUUUAUCGCCUUUGGAUGGGCCCGCGUUGGAUUAGCUAGUUGGUAGGGUAAAAGCCUACCAAGGCGACGAUCCAUAGCUGGUCUGAGAGGAUGAUCAGCCACACUGGGACUGAGACACGGCCCAGACUCCUACGGGGGGCAGGAGGGGGGAAUAUUGGACAAUGGGCGAAAGCCUGAUCCAGCAAUGCCGGGUGAGUGAUGAAGGCCUUAGGGUUGUAAAGCUCUUUUACCCGGGAUGAUAAUGACAGUACCGGGAAAAUAAGCCCCGGCUAACUCCGU
rnacentral:rRNA from 1 species